CCCUUAGAUGUUCUGGGCCGCACGCGCGCUACACUGAUGCAUUCAACGAGUUUCUUCCUGGUCCGAGAGGAAUGGGUAACCUUUUGAAAGUGCAUCGUGAUAGGGAUAGACUAUUGCAAUUAUUGGUCUUCAACGAGGAAUUCCUAGUAGACGUAGUUCAUCAGACUGCAUCGAUUACGUCCCUGCCCUUUGUACACACCGCCCGUCGCUCCUACCGAUUGAAUGCUCAGGUGAGCCAUUCGGACUUUCAUCAUGCUGGUUUCCAGUUUUGAUGAAGGAAAUUCUUGCGAACCUUAUCAUUUAGAGGAAGGAGAAGUCGUAACA
rnacentral:rRNA from 1 species